rnacentral:rRNA from 1 species
AUUGAACGCUGGCGGCAGGCCUAACACAUGCAAGUCGAACGCGUGGCGGAGGGGUGAGUAAUGUCCGGGAAACUGCCUGAUGGAGGGGGAUAACUACUGUGAACGGUAGCUAAUACCGCCUACCAUCCGGUAUACCCCGAUGGGAUGAGCGAGUUGGUGGGUUAACGGCUCACCAAGGCGACGAUCCCUCGCUGGUCUGAGAGGAUGACCAGCCACACUGGAACUGAGACACGGUCCAGACUCCUACGGGAGGCAGCAGUGGGGAAUAUUGCACAAUGGGCGCAAGCCUGAUGCAGCCAUGCCGCGUGUAUGAAGAAGGCCUUCGGGUUGUAAAGUACUUUCAGCGGGGAGGCGUUACCCGCAGAAGAAGCACCGGCUAACUCCGUGCCAGCAGCCGCGGUAAUAC